rnacentral:lncRNA from 1 species
CUUGGAACAGUUUUGCUAGCAGAAAAUACGACUCUCUUCUAUGCUGUGGUAAAAUAGUACAACCACAAGGCCAGGAUCCAUAGAAUGUGACCAGCUGUUUCAGUGGUUUUCUGUUACUAUUUGUGAAGUCUUCAUUCUUGUCAUCUCUAGCAGAAGAGUGGUGCCAGUUGCCAGAGGUUUGAGGAAAAAGAAGUCAUGGGAGAAUUUACAUUUCAGAAAAUUCCAUUCAUUGACUUAAUUAUUUCUGGGAAUUCAGAAAAGACCACCAUGAUCCUUUAGCCGCGAAAACACUUGGGCCAGUUUUGGAAAUGCUAGAAUCCUGCAGGAGAAGCUUUUGAGAAAUUCAGUACUGUGCAGUGUUGUAACCCGAAUACUUUGCUGGAGAAAGGGUUACUGAGAGAUCAUAUUCACAAAUCAACGUGCAAUAGUGAAAAAAGAUGGCAACACUGAAGAACCUUACUGAAUAACCCAGUAUGGACCACGUAUUGUAAUAGGCACUUAAUUUCUCUCAAUCCUUUCGAUAUCUCCUUGAAAUAGGGUCUCGCUCUGUCACCCAGGCUGGAGUGCAAUGAUGUGAUCUCGGCUCACUGCAACCUCCACCUCUGGGGUUCAAGAGAUUCUCCUGCCUCAGCCUCUCAAGUAGCUGGGAUUACAGUUCCCAAGAGCCUGUGGAGUGGGCACACAGCAAUUAUUGGAGUUAAGCAGAAGGUUGAGCUACAUAAAAUCAUCUGGCUACUUAGCAGCCAGCAUCAGAAUCCGGGUCUUCA